ACGGGAGGCAGCAGUGGGGGAUAUUGCACAAUGGGGGAAACCCUGAUGCAGCGACGCCGCGUGAGUGAAGAAGUAUUUCGGUAUGUAAAGCUCUAUCAGCAGGGAAGAAAAUGACGGUACCUGACUAAGAAGCUCCGGCUAAAUACGUGCCAGCAGCCGCGGUAAUACGUAGGGGGCAAGCGUUAUCCGGAUUUACUGGGUGUAAAGGGUGCGUAGACGGUUUGGCAAGUCAGAAGUGAAAUCCCGGGGCUUAACUCCGGUGCUGCUUUUGAAACUGUCAGACUAGAGUGCUGGAGGGGCAAGCGGAAUUCCUGGUGUAGCGGUGAAAUGCGUAGAUAUCAGGAGGAACACCGGUGGCGAAGGCGGAUUGCUGGACAGUAACUGACGUUGAGGCACGAAAGCGUGGGGAGCAAACAGGAUUAGAUACCC
rnacentral:rRNA from 1 species